UUAAAUUGAAGAGUUUGAUCAUGGCUCAGAUUGAACGCUGGCGGCAGGCCUAACACAUGCAAGUCGAACGGUAACAGGAAACAGCUUGCUGUUUCGCUGACGAGUGGCGGACGGGUGAGUAAUGUCUGGGAAACUGCCUGAUGGAGGGGGAUAACUACUGGAAACGGUAGCUAAUACCGCAUAACGUCGCAAGACCAAAGAGGGGGACCCUCGGGCCUCUUGCCAUCGGA
rnacentral:rRNA from 1 species